GACGAACGCUGGCGGCGUGCUUAACACAUGCCAGUCGAACGGAAAGGCCUGCUUUCCCUUGUGGAUUGCGGGUACUCGAGUGGCGAACGGGUGAGUAACACGUGAGUGAUCUGCCCCCAACUUGGGUAUAAGCCUGGGAAACUGGGUCUAAUUCCCGAUAGGACUGCAGGGUGGUGCCUGUGGUGGAAAACGAUUUUCUAGUGGUUGGGGAUGAGCUCGCGGCCUAUCAGCUUGUUGGUGGGGUAAUGGCCUACCAAGGCGGCGACGGGUAGCCGGCCUGAGAGGGUGGACGGCCACAUUGGGACUGAGAUACGGCCCAGACUCCUACGGGAGGCAGCAGUGGGGAAUAUUGCACAAUGGGCGGAAGCCUGAUGCAGCGACGCCGCGUGGGGGAUGACGGCCUUCGGGUGGUAAACUCCUUUCGACCGCGAGGAAGCCACCUGGUUGGAAGGGUGGUGACGGUAGUGGUAGAAGAAGCACCGGCUAACUACGUG
rnacentral:rRNA from 1 species